UGUAACCAUUCAUUGCCAGAGUUAAACAGCACAUGUGUUUGAAAAAAAUCUGAAAUGGAUCAAAUUGAAAAUCUUUUGGAAUGUAUUACAAAUACAAAUCGAAAAACUCAAAAUAUUUAUCUCAACAUGCUUGACGAAAAUCAUAUCAAACCAAACAAGAGAGUUGUUGUGUCUCAACUAAUUACUAAAUUGCUUACGAAAAGAAAAACUCGUCCCCUUGGAUACCGGCUCCUUCUAUGUUACCUCAAUCAAUACUCCCUAGAAGGAUCGGAAAAAUCUGCAAAUGUGUGGUUUACAAUUAUAUUGAAAUCCUUAAACGUAUCUGAGAUUCGUUUAUACGGGGAAAUCAUAUUUGAAGCAUUGGCGCUACUCAUACAAAAUAUCCAAUGCGAUUUUAACUUGUCAAAAGCAUUUGGGUCCGUUUAUGUCCUUAAAGUUGUCGAAAAGUUUUCCCUAAAAGAAAUACUUGAAGACGAAUGCUGCACCCUAUCUGCCCUUCACACUGUCGAGCAAUGCUUAAAAUAUUAUCCAAGGAGUAUUAAGUCUGGAAAAUCCGGAAUCGAAAAUUUCUUGAUGAAUUUAUUAGACAGCAAUAAUGUCGAUAUUGUCUUUCAAACCGGUGAAUGUUGGCUCUUGUUACAAAAAGUACGCGGCUCUCUCAGUAUUGGAGCUAAAAAUGAUGAAAACCAAUGGCGAGAUUACCAAUUGACAUUAUUGGGGAGUCUUUAUUCAAUUAUAAACAAGUCUUUUCCCAUAUCUGAGGAAAUAUUUGUGGGCACAAUUGUGUCAAAUCACUUAUCACAUUUUGAAGUGCAUUUGACAGAAGAUCCGGUUAAACGAGCCGCACAAGUCUGUCAGCGGUUUUGCAAUCUUAUCGAUUUCUUAAAGAUUGCCUUGAGCAAACCGUACCCUGACAAGAAGUUAAUUUUUACACAACAAAUUUUGUGUUUUAUACAACGUGGAAUAUCUUUAAAAAUAAAUAAUAAAAGUAAUCCAAAAAUGGAUUAUGUAUGUUUUAAAGCUUUGUUACCGCAAAUGCAAAUAAAGUUGUUGGAGCUUCUGGAAGUUUUGAUUGACAUAUGUCACACUCAUCUCAGGAUGCAUUUUCGCACUAUAUUGAGCAUUUUACUGGAAUCACUUGAAAAUACCAAAUUGAUUUCAAAGGAAGGAAACAGGCUACAAUAUGUUAAAUUUCGAUUUGUGGUUUACAAAACCAUAUCAAUAUGGUGCUCGAACUUAAAAGAAGGAAGUCAUUGCGAAAUAAUCUCGGAGACCCUUAUAAACGAACUAUUAGAUGAUGUUACGCAGCGACAGUUAAUUCUAUCAAAAGAGUCAAUAGAGGGGAAAAAAAAAUACCGGAGACACAAUUUUUCACGUUUAAUUGCCUUUCAUUAAGUGAAAAUGAGAAAUUAUUUCAUAAGGAAGCUUUUUCUUGCCUUCACUUAAUUUUAACAUCGUCUGGUCAUUUAUUACGCAACUCUGUUUUGAAGAAGGUACACAACGCUCUAUUGGAACUAUGUAUUGAAAUGAAUGCAGAACCUAUGAAAUCGGAAUAUUUAACAAAACUCUGGAAUUGUCGCUUGGAAAUUUAUAAAAUAUUAAUAUUUUUAUUGAAGUCGAGAAAUUACAGCUGUCCUGUAUCAUCUGAAAUGUUAUUGUGCAUUUUGGAUGAAUCCCGUUUAAUUGAAAAUAAUCUUGAAAUACGCCUAAAUUCUCAAGCAUUAUUUGAAGUCCUGGAAUCAUCGCUCCAUCCCCACAAGGAAGAUCUAGGCUUUAGACAAGAUUCAAAAAGUAUGCUGUGCAGUCAAGGAAGUCCGGAACUAAUGGACUUAACUAUAAAUAAAAGUACAAAUCAUAUUUCACCGGUAGAUUGUAAAGUCCCUCUGAACUAUAAUAAUGACCGAAAUGAAAAUGCCAAAUCCGUUCAUCAAAACGAACUUGAGUCGAACUCACAAACUCUUACCCACCAAAUCAUCAAUGAGCAAGACAGCACAGAGCACCCUAGUUCAAAUAACCUGAAAGAUAUUAAAGUAAAUAAAUCUAAUAGCCAGGAGGGAAAAA